rnacentral:rRNA from 1 species
GGAUAAAAGCUACCCCGGGGAUAACAGGCUUAUCUCCCCCAAGAGUUCACAUCGACGGGGAGGUUUGGCACCUCGAUGUCGGCUCAUCGCAUCCUGGGGCUGUAGUCGGUCCCAAGGGUUGGGCUGUUCGCCCAUUAAAGCGGUACGCGAGCUGGGUUCAGAACGUCGUGAGACAGUUCGGUCCCUAUCCGUCGUGGGCGUAGGAAAUUUGAGAGGAGCUGUCCUUAGUACGAGAGGACCGGGAUGGACAUACCUCUGGUGUACCAGUUGUCGUGCCAACGGCAUAGCUGGGUAGCUAUGUAUGGACGGGAUAAGUGCUGAAAGCAUCUAAGCAUGAAGCCCCCCUCGAGAUGAGAUUUCCCAACUUCGGUUAUAAGAUCCCUCAAAGAUGAUGAGGUGAAUAGGUUCGAGGUGGAAGCGUAGCGAUACGUGGAGCUGACGAAUACUAAUCGAU